rnacentral:rRNA from 1 species
GAUGAACGCUAGCGGGAGGCCUAACACAUGCAAGCCGAGCGGUAUUGUUUCUUCGGUAAUGAGAGAGCGGCGUACGGGUGCGUAACACGUGUGCAACCUGCCUUUAUCUGGGGGAUAGCCUUUCGAAAGGAAGAUUAAUACUCCACAAUAUAUUGAUCGGCAUCGUUUAAUAUUGAAAGCUCCGGCGGAAAGAGAUGGGCACGCGUAAGAGUAGCUAGGUGGUGAGGUAACGGCUCACCAAGGCGAUGAUCUUUAGGGGGCAUGAGAGGGUGAUCCCCCACACUGGUACUGAGACACGGACCAGACUCCUACGGGAGGCAGCAGUGAGGAAUAUUGGUCAAUGGGUGCAAGCCUGAACCAGCCAUCCCGCGUGAAGGACGACUGCCCUAUGGGUUGUAAACUUCUUUUGUAUAGGGAUAAACCUACCCUCGUGAGGGUAGCUGAAGGUACUAUACGAAUAAGCACCGGCUAACUCCGUGCCAGCCGCCGCGGUAA